CUAAAGAUGGCGACCGGCGCACGGGUGAGUAACACGUAUCCAACCUGCCGAUAACUCGGGGAUAGCCUUUCGAAAGAAAGAUUAAUAUCCGAUGGUAUAUUUUCUCCGCAUGGUGAGAAUAUUAAAGAAUUUCGGUUAUCGAUGGGGAUGCGUUCCAUUAGUUUGUUGGCGGGGUAACGGCCCACCAAGACCACGAUGGAUAGGGGUUCUGAGAGGAAGGUCCCCCACAUUGGAACUGAGACACGGUCCAA
rnacentral:rRNA from 1 species